rnacentral:rRNA from 1 species
UACGGGGGGGGGCAAGCGUUGUUCGGAAUUACUGGGCGUAAAGGGCUUGUAGGUGGCCAACUAAGUCAGACGUGAAAUCCCUCGGCUUAACCGGGGAACUGCGUCUGAUACUGGAUGGCUAGAGUGUGGGAGAGGGAUGCGGAAUUCCAGGUGUAGCGGUGAAAUGCGUAGAUAUCUGGAGGAACACCGGUGGCGAAGGCGGCAUCCUGGACCACGACUGACACUGAAAAGCGAAAGCCAGGGGAGCAAACGGG